rnacentral:rRNA from 3 species
UCCAGUGACGAUGGCAAAGAGGCCACACCCGUUCCCAUCCCGAACACGGAAGUUAAGCUCUUUUGCGCCGAUGGUAGUUGGGGGUUUCCCCCUGUGAGAGUAGGACGUCGCUGGUC